GGCAGAUGGUCCUGGGUCUGCAGCUUCUACUGGGCUUCCCCUGAUUGUAUGAGUGUGUGCAGACUGACUGGAGACCCCUUCAGGCUUUGAACUGGACAAUGUGUGCAGCACCGAACAUGCACGUGUCUUUGAAGUGGCUUAAAAAAAGGACAUUUUUUUUAUAGCCGCUGAAUGAAAUGUGAGUAGUUUUAGGACUUGACUAGCAGCUACAGAACAGUAUUUGCAUGUGAUGUAAAGGAUGGAUUUGUUGCUGAACUGACAACAGCAGAAAACUGGCUGCACUGGUUUACACUAAUUUGCAUCUGCAAUCCUGUUUGAGGUGAACAAAUCUGUGACCCCUGAAUCCGCUCGCCAUCAAUGAAGAAGAGAGAUGAAAAGAAGAAGAUGAAGAAGGCCGGCCUCGUCUUCCUGUCGUCCUUCUGUUCUCUGUUUGAGGCUGAAUCUUCUCAGAAAGCUUCCAGUAAACAGGAACAUCCAACAAGAGGCCCUCUUGCCUCUGAAGUCCCGGCCAGCUGCUCUUCCUCCUCAUCUACCUCCUGCUUUACUCACCUCUCAGCCUCUCUGAUGUGUUUGUUUGGUGUUUCAGAUAUUACAGACAAAGGCCUUCUAUAAUGGGAUUUCUGUCUGGGUCUGAAUGCAGUCUGAACUGGUUUGUUGGGGAUGAAACGUGAAAAAAUGAAGAGUUUCAUGUCAUGUCACAUAGAGGCUAUGUCAAUAUUAAGUUGUAUUUUUAGUCCUAUUUGGAACCAAAGCUUCCAUAGGAUAAAAAAACAAGCUGAGGUUUCCGGCUUUGGGGUUUUUAAGAUGACCGAUUAAUUGUUUUCCUUUGCCUCCAAAAAUAAUUCCUUCAGUUUUAUCUUUGAUUGAUAAAAAGACUGUGGCACACCCAGUCAAUUUGUUCUUUCCAACUACUGAGAUCUUGUACAUGAUUAUAGUCCCUUGGUGACAUGUCUGUGUAAAGUUGGGUGUCAUCUGCAUUUGAUUGUUUUCCAUUUGAGCUAGUAGGAACAGAAAAAGCUUCAGUAUGGAGUCUUGGGAAACUCCACGUUAGUUUUGUUUGCUCAGAUCUGUAAUUACCUACAGACAAAAAGAAGAUCCUGGUCUUUAAGUACCAGGACUUCUGGCUUGGUUUGUGGUAUUUAACAUUACAGAUUAAAGCUGAAUGUGAUUGUUCUUCUUUGCCUUACUUCAGGUUUAUCUUGGUUCAGUUGCUAAAAAGACUUUGCAAACCUUUUGUAUGAGGUUUUAGUCCUCUGGUGAUACGGUUAUGUAAAGUUUUGUGUCAUCUGCAUAGUUUUGGUGUCCUAUUUUAUUGUUUUCUUUCAUCUGAGCUACCAGAAGCAGGCAAAUAUUAAUCAGGAAAGGUAUUGAACCUUGGGGAACUUCACAAGGCAUUUUUUGUCUGCUGAGAUUUGUAAUUACCUACAGAGACAAAGUAGACUGGCUUGGUUUGUGGUAUUCAACAUUGUGAAUUGAAACCAGUUGCUGACUUGUAAUUGUUGUUCUUUGACUACAAAACAAUUACUUCAGUUUUGUCCUUUUUUAUCUUUAGAAAACUGGGAUACAUCCAAUAGGUGAUUUUUUUCUAUGUAACUACUGACUUCUUUUACAUGGGUAUUGCCCCAUGGAGACAUUAUGUAAAACUGAAUGUGUCUGCAUAGUGAAGGUGUCAGAUUUUGUUGUUUACAUAAUCUGAGCCAGUAGGACCAUGUAGACAUUUAACAAAAAAGGCCCCAGUAUGGAGCUUUGGGGAACUUCACAGCUUAUUUUUUUGUCCGCCGAGAGUUGUAAUUUCUUAUAUCCAUAAAGUAGACACCGUUCUUUAAGUAUCAAGAUUUCCGAAUAGGUUUGUAGUAUUCGACGUUGCAAAUUGAAACUGACUGCUGACUUUUAAUUGUUCUUCUUUGGCUCUAAAAACAAUUACUUCCAUUUUGUCUGUAUUUAGUUGAAGAAAACUGUGGCACACCCAAACAUUUAUUUGUUCUAAGCAACUACAGAGCUCUUGUCCAUGAUUAUAAUCCCUUUGUGAUAGGUUAUAUAAAGUUGUAUGUCAUCUGCAUAGAGUACGUUAAUAUUUACCAGAAGAGGCCCCAGCAUGGAGCCUUGGGGAACUCCAUGGCUUGUUUUUGUCCAUUCAGACCUAUAGGAUUCAGAAAGUCGUACCCAGUUUUCCAGUUGGUUUAGUAAUAUGCUUUGGUCGACUGUGUCACAUGCAGCACUGACAUCCAGUCAUAGUAAGACUGAAAUUCUGCCAUUGUAUGUAUUUAAGUGGAUCUCAUCAAUGAUUUUAACACUUCAACGAUCAACAAUUUUGACUAAAUUAUUCUCUGAUAAUGAUUUAAAUUAUAUUAGUAGAAACAAACUUAAAUGUAAUUUAAAUUUACUACAUCAAAAGUUAACAGAUGCUUUUAAAAAAACAAUGGAAUUAUGACAUUUGUCAAAAAACUAAGUUAAAACAUAUUCACUUUAAGGAAGAUUAUAAAACAGAAAACUAUAUUUUGUUACAUUUAUCGAGAAAACAAAGAUCCCUAUGUGCUCAGUUGAGAACUGGCACGUUACCUCUGGCAAUUGAAGUUGGUAGGUAUAAAGGUUUACCUGAAGAACAACGGCUAUGUACGCUGUGUGACCUUAACGUGGUAGAAGAUGAGCCACAUUUUGUUCUUUAUUGUCCCUGUUAUUGUGAGUUAAGAAAUAUUUUGUUUGAUGGAUGCUUGGAUCCAGAUAUUUUUUGGCAAACAGAAAGUUCUAUUUUGAGUUGCCUGUUUGAAAAUCAUGUGUUUUCCAUUGCCAAGUAUCUAUGUAAAGCCUGGGAUAGAAGGCAAAGGUUGUUGUAUCCAGUCUAAUAUAAUUCUUGUUUAUAAGUUGUGGUCUGCAGCCACAUUAUGUAUUUUUUGUUAGUGUCUUGUAAGCCCAUGUGGGCUGGGCACAAAUGUGCAUGACACUUUAAUAAAAUCAAAUCAAUCAAU